rnacentral:rRNA from 2 species
AAAACUUUCAACAACGGAUCUCUUGGCUCUUGCAUCGAUGAAGAACGCAGCGAAAUGCGAUAAGUAAUGUGAAUUGCAGAAUUCAGUGAAUCAUCGAAUCUUUGAACGCACCUUGCGCCUUUUGGUAUUCCGAAAGGCAUGCCUGUUUGAGUGUCAUG